GAUGAACGCUGGCGGCGUGCUUAACACAUGCAAGUCGAACGAUGAAGCCCAGCUUGCUGGGUGGAUUAGUGGCGAACGGGUGAGUAACCCGUGAGUAACCUGCCCUUAACUCUGGGAUAAGCCUGGGAAACUGGGUCUAAUACCGGAUAGGAGCGCCUACCGCAUGGUGGGUGUUGGAAAGAUUUAUCGGUUUUGGAUGGACUCGCGGCCUAUCAGCUUGUUGGUGAGGUAAUGGCUCACCAAGGCGACGACGGGUAGCCGGCCUGAGAGGGUGACCGGCCACACUGGGACUGAGACACGGCCCAGACUCCUACGGGAGGCAGCAGUGGGGAAUAUUGCACAAUGGGCGAAAGCCUGAUGCAGCGACGCCGCGUGAGGGAUGACGGCCUUCGGGUUGUAAACCUCUUUCAGUAGGGAAGAAGCGAAAGUGACGGUACCUGCAGAAGAAGCACCGGCUAACUACGUG
rnacentral:rRNA from 1 species